AUUGAACGCUGGCGGCAGGCCUAACACAUGCAAGUCGAGCGAGCGGCGGACGGGUGAGUAAUGUAUGGGGACUGCCCGAUCGAGGGGGAUAACUAAUGGAAACGGUGGCUAAUACCGCAUACUAUCGGAUAACCCAUAUGGGAUUAGCUAGUAGGUGGGGUAAAGGCUCACCUAGGCUACCAUCUCUAGCUGGUCUGAGAGGAUGAUCGGCCAAACUGGGAGUGAGACACGGCCAAGACGCCAACGGAGGCAGCAGUGGGGAAUAUUGCACAAUGGGCGCAAGCCUGAUGCAGCCAUGCGGGGUGUAUGAAGAAGGCCUUAGGGUUGUAAAGUACUUUCAUCGGGGAGGCGUUACCCGCAGAAGAAGCACCGGCUAACUCCGUGCCAGCAGCCGCGGUAAUUC
rnacentral:rRNA from 1 species